CAGUCGACGGAGAAAUUGAGCUUGCUUAAUGUUCUUAGUGGCGGACGGGUGCGUAACACGUGAGUAACCUGCCUCUGAGAGUGGGAUAGCUUCUGGAAACGGAUGGUAAUACCGCAUAACAUCAUGGAUUCGCAUGUUUCUAUGAUCAAAGAUUUAUCGCUUAGAGAUGGACUCGCGUCUGAUUAGCUAGUUGGUAAGGUAACGGCUUACCAAGGCGACGAUCAGUAGCCGGACUGAGAGGUUGAUCGGCCACAUUGGGACUGAGACACGGCCCAGACUCCUACGGGAGGCAGCAGUGGGGAAUAUUGCACAAUGGGGGAAACCCUGAUGCAGCGAUGCCGCGUGGAGGAAGAAGGUUUUCGGAUUGUAAACUCCUGUUGAAGAGGACGAUAAUGACGGUACUCUUUUAGAAAGCUCCGGCUAACUACGUGCCAGCAGCCGCGGUAAUACGUAGGGAGCGAGCGUUGUCCGGAAUUACUGGGUGUAAAGGGAGCGUAGGCGGGAUGGCAAGUCAGAUGUGAAAACUAUGGGCUCAACCCAUAGACUGCAUUUGAAACUGUUGUUCUUGAGUGAGGUAGAGGUAAGCGGAAUUCCUGGUGUAGCGGUGAAAUGCGUAGAGAUCAGGAGGAACAUCGGUGGCGAAGGCGGCUUACUGGGCCUUUACUGACGCUGAGGCUCGAAAGCGUGGGGAGCAAACAGGAUUAGAUACCCUGGUAGUCCACGCCGUAAACGAUGAUUACUAGGUGUGGGGGGACUGACCCCUUCCGUGCCGCAGUUAACACAAUAAGUAAU
rnacentral:rRNA from 1 species